rnacentral:tRNA from 1 species
GUUUUUGUAGCUUAUAUAAGAGCAUUUCAGUGAAGUUGAUAAGGAAAUAAUUUAUUUAAAAACA